GUGGGGAAUAUUGCACAAUGGGGGAAACCCUGAUGCAGCAACGCCGCGUGAGUGAUGAAGGUCUUCGGAUUGUAAAGCUCUGUCUUUAGGGACGAUAAUGACGGUACCUAAGGAGGAAGCCACGGCUAACUACGUGCCAGCAGCCGCGGUAAUACGUAGGUGGCAAGCGUUAUCCGGAUUUACUGGGCGUAAAGGGAGCGUAGGCGGAUAUUUAAGUGGGAUGUGAAAUACCCGAGCUUAACUUGGGAGCUGCAUUCCAAACUGGAUAUCUAGAGUGCAGGAGAGGAGAAUGGAAUUCCUAGUGUAGCGGUGAAAUGCGUAGAGAUUAGGAAGAACACCAGUGGCGAAGGCGAUUCUCUGGACUGUAACUGACGCUGAGGCUCGAAAGCGUGGGGAGCAAACAGGAUUAGAAACCCGAGUAGUCC
rnacentral:rRNA from 1 species